CAACCAUCAAGCGCCUGCGCUUGUGUUGGAGCCCUGCGGCUGCCGCAGGCUCCCAAACCCAGUGGCGGGCUCGUCGUCGUACCGAGUGCAGUAAAUUUACCACGCUCAGGGCGCGCGACGGGUGACCGGCCGUAAAACCCCCCAACUUAUCAA
rnacentral:misc_RNA from 1 species